CGGGACACGUGGUAUCCUGUCUGAAUAUGGGGGGACCAUCCUCCAAGGCUAAAUACUCCUGACUGACCGAUAGUGAACCAGUACCGUGAGGGAAAGGCGAAAAGAACCCCGGCGAGGGGAGUGAAAAAGAACCUGAAACCGUGUACGUACAAGCAGUGGGAGCCUCUUUAUGGGGUGACUGCGUACCUUUUGUAUAAUGGGUCAGCGACUUAUAUUCUGUAGCAAGGUUAACCGAAUAGGGGAGCCGAAGGGAAACCGAGUCUUAACUGGGCGUUAAGUUGCAGGGUAUAGACCCGAAACCCGGUGAUCUAGCCAUGGGCAGGUUGAAGGUUGGGUAACACUAACUGGAGGACCGAACCGACUAAUGUUGAAAAAUUAGCGGAUGACUUGUGGCUGGGGGUGAAAGGCCAAUCAAACCGGGAGAUAGCUGGUUCUCCCCGAAAGCUAUUUAGGUAGCGCCUCGUGAAUUCAUCUCCGGGGGUAGAGCACUGUUUCGGCAAGGGGGUCAUCCCGACUUACCAACCCGAUGCAAACUGCGAAUACCGGAGAAUGUUAUCACGGGAGACACACGGCGGGUGCUAACGUCCGUCGUGAAGAGGGAAACAACCCAGACCGCCAGCUAAGGUCCCAAAGUCAUGGUUAAGUGGGAAACGAUGUGGGAAGGCCCAGACAGCCAGGAUGUUGGCUUAGAAGCAGCCAUCAUUUAAAGAAAGCGUAAUAGCUCACUGGUCGAGUCGGCCUGCGCGGAAGAUGUAACGGGGCUAAACCAUGCACCGAAGCUGCGGCAGCGACGCUUAUGCGUUGUUGGGUAGGGGAGCGUUCUGUAAGCCUGCGAAGGUGUGCUGUGAGGCAUGCUGGAGGUAUCAGAAGUGCGAAUGCUGACAUAAGUAACGAUAAAGCGGGUGAAAAGCCCGCUCGCCGGAAGACCAAGGGUUCCUGUCCAACGUUAAUCGGGGCAGGGUGAGUCGACCCCUAAGGCGAGGCCGAAAGGCGUAGUCGAUGGGAAACAGGUUAAUAUUCCUGUACUUGGUGUUACUGCGAAGGGGGGACGGAGAAGGCUAUGUUGGCCGGGCGACGGUUGUCCCGGUUUAAGCGUGUAGGCUGGUUUUCCAGGCAAAUCCGGAAAAUCAAGGCUGAGGCGUGAUGACGAGGCACUACGGUGCUGAAGCAACAAAUGCCCUGCUUCCAGGAAAAGCCUCUAAGCAUCAGGUAACAUCAAAUCGUACCCCAAACCGACACAGGUGGUCAGGUAGAGAAUACCAAGGCGCUUGAGAGAACUCGGGUGAAGGAACUAGGCAAAAUGGUGCCGUAACUUCGGGAGAAGGCACGCUGAUAUGUAGGUGAAGCGACUUGCUCGUGGAGCUGAAAUCAGUCGAAGAUACCAGCUGGCUGCAACUGUUUAUUAAAAACACAGCACUGUGCAAACACGAAAGUGGACGUAUACGGUGUGACGCCUGCCCGGUGCCGGAAGGUUAAUUGAUGGGGUUAGCGGUAACGCGAAGCUCUUGAUCGAAGCCCCGGUAAACGGCGGCCGUAACUAUAACGGUCCUAAGGUAGCGAAAUUCCUUGUCGGGUAAGUUCCGACCUGCACGAAUGGCGUAAUGAUGGCCAGGCUGUCUCCACCCGAGACUCAGUGAAAUUGAACUCGCUGUGAAGAUGCAGUGUACCCGCGGCAAGACGGAAAGACCCCGUGAACCUUUACUAUAGCUUGACACUGAACAUUGAGCCUUGAUGUGUAGGAUAGGUGGGAGGCUUUGAAGUGUGG
rnacentral:rRNA from 1 species